AUUGAACGCUGGCGGCAGGCCUAACACAUGCAAGUCGAACGGUAACAGAAAGCAGCUUGCUGCUUUGCUGACGAGUGGCGGACGGGUGAGUAAUGUCUGGGAAACUGCCCGAUGGAGGGGGAUAACUACUGGAAACGGUAGCUAAUACCGCAUAACGUCGCAAGACCAAAGAGGGGGACCUUCGGGCCUCUUACCAUCGGAUGUGCCCAGAUGGGAUUAGCUAGUAGGUGAGGUAAUGGCUCACCUAGGCGACGAUCCCUAGCUGGUCUGAGAGGAUGACCAGCCACACUGGAACUGAGACACGGUCCAGACUCCUACGGGAGGCAGCAGUGGGGAAUAUUGCACAAUGGGCGCAAGCCUGAUGCAGCCAUGCCGCGUGUAUGAAGAAGGCCUUCGGGUUGUAAAGUACUUUCAGCGAGGAGGAAGGGGUUGAGUUUAAUACGCUCAAUCAUUGACGUUACUCGCAGAAGAAGCACCGGCUAACUCCGUGCCAGCAGCCGCGGUAAUACGGAGGGUGCAAGCGUUAAUCGGAAUUACUGGGCGUAAAGCGCACGCAGGCGGUUUGUUAAGUCAGAUGUGAAAUCCCCGGGCUCAACCUGGGAACUGCAUUUGAAACUGGCAAGCUUGAGUCUCGUAGAGGGGGGUAGAAUUCCAGGUGUAGCGGUGAAAUGCGUAGAGAUCUGGAGGAAUACCGGUGGCGAAGGCGGCCCCUGGACGAAGACUGACGCUCAGGUGCGAAAGCGUGGGGAGCAAACAGGAUUAGAUACCCCUGGUAGUCCACGCUGUAAACGAUGUCUAUUUGGAGGUUGUGCCCUUGAGGCGUGGCUUCCGGAGCUAACGCGUUAAAUAGACCGCCUGGGGAGUACGGCCGCAAGGUUAAAACUCAAAUGAAUUGACGGGGGCCCGCACAAGCGGUGGAGCAUGUGGUUUAAUUCGAUGCAACGCGAAGAACCUUACCUACUCUUGACAUCCACAGGAGGUCUCAGAGAUGAGGCUGUGCCUUCGGGAACUGUGAGACAGGUGCUGCAUGGCUGUCGUCAGCUCGUGUUGUGAAAUGUUGGGUUAAGUCCCGCAACGAGCGCAACCCUUAUCCUUUGUUGCCAGCGAUUCGGUCGGGAACUCAAAGGAGACUGCCAGUGAUAAACUGGAGGAAGGUGGGGAUGACGUCAAGUCAUCAUGGCCCUUACGAGUAGGGCUACACACGUGCUACAAUGGCAUAUACAAAGAGAAGCGACCUCGCGAGAGCAAGCGGACCUCAUAAAGUAUGUCGUAGUCCGGAUUGGAGUCUGCAACUCGACUCCAUGAAGUCGGAAUCGCUAGUAAUCGUAGAUCAGAAUGCUACGGUGAAUACGUUCCCGGGCCUUGUACACACCGC
rnacentral:rRNA from 1 species